GAUGAACGCUAGCUACAGGCUUAACACAUGCAAGUCGAGGGGUAACAAGGGGAAAGCUUGCUUUCCUUGUUGACGACCGGCGCACGGGUGAGUAACGCGUAUCCAACCUGCCUAUAACUAGGGAAUAACCUUGCGAAAGUAAGACUAAUACCCUAUGAUUUCCUUUGAUGACAUCAGAUUAGGAAUAAAGAUUUAUCGGUUAUAGAUGGGGAUGCGUCUGAUUAGCUUGUUGGCGGGGUAACGGCCCACCAAGGCAACGAUCAGUAGGGGUUCUGAGAGGAAGGUCCCCCACAUUGGAACUGAGACACGGUCCAAACUCCUACGGGAGGCAGCGGUGAGGAAUAUUGGUCAAUGGGCGGAAGCCUGAACCAGCCAAGUAGCGUGCAUGAUGACGGCCCUAUGGGUUAUAAACUGCUUUUAUACAGGAAUAAAGUUAGCCACGUGUGGUUAUUUGUAGGUACUGUAUGAAUAAGGACCGGCUAAUUCCGUGCCAGCCGCCGCGGUAA
rnacentral:rRNA from 1 species